rnacentral:rRNA from 1 species
AUACGUAGGGUGCAAGCGUUAAUCGGAAUUACUGGGCGUAAAGCGUGCGCAGGCGGUUUUGUAAGAAAGAGGUGAAAUCCCCGGGCUCAACCUGGGAACUGCCUUUGUGACUGCAAGGCUAGAGUACGGGAGAGGGGGAUGGAAUUCCGCGUGUAGCAGUGAAAUGCGUAGAUAUGCGGAGGAACACCGAUGGCGAAGGCAAUCCCCUGGGCCUGUACUGACGCUCAUGCACGAAAGCGUGGGGAGCAAACAGGAUUAGAUACCCUGGUAGUCCACGCCCUAAACGAUGUCAACUGGUUGUUGGGUCUUCAUUGACUCAGUAACGAAGCUAACGCGUGAAGUUGACCGCCUGGGGAGUACGGCCGCAAGGUUAAAACUCAAAUGAAUUGACGGGG